rnacentral:rRNA from 1 species
AUUGAACGCUGGCGGCAUGCUUUACACAUGCAAGUCGAACGGCAGCGCGGGCUUCGGCCUGGCGGCGAGUGGCGAACGGGUGAGUAAUACAUCGGAACGUGCCCAGUAGUGGGGGAUAGCUCGGCGAAAGCCGGAUUAUACCGCAUACGACCUGAGGGUGAAAGCGGGGGAUCUUCGGACCCUGCGCUAUUGGAGCGGCCGAUGGCAGAUUAGCUAGUUGGUGGGGUAAAGGCCUACCAAGGCGACGAUCUGUAGCUGGUCUGAGAGGACGACCAGCCACACUGGGACUGAGACACGGCCCAGACUCCUACGGGAGGCAGCAGUGGGGAAUUUUGGACAAUGGGCGAAAGCCUGAUCCAGCAAUGCCGCGUGUGUGAUGAAGGCCUUCGGGUUGUAAAGCACUUUUGGCGGGAACGAAAAGGACUGUGCCAAUACCACGGUUCGAUGACGGUACCCGCAGAAUAAGCACCGGCUAACUACGUG